UGCUAACUAGAUAUCUAAUCUCAAUUCGAAUUCUAAUCGACUAACGACUUCGAAUCUGAUUAAGAUUCAUCUGGAUAUAAUCAGAUAUAUCUAAAUAUUUGGAAUCUAACUACAAUCCUAACACAAAGAGUCGCUGGGUUGUCUUGGUUUCAAAUAUAACAUAUUCCGGUCCAUGUAAGAUUCUACAUUCUAACUUGGAUUCAGCGAAGAAAAAGUCUACUCACACUGCAACUCCAUGUUUUGAGCAAGUCAUGGGAUGAAAUUGACGAGAACUUGUCCCAUUUGCAGCUCCAUGUCAAUUGUGGCGAGUACAACCCAACUAAAAUCGCUUCUUACCCACUAUAUGAAUGCCUAAAUUUCAGGCACCACGGGAUAUCGACAAUCGAGUAUAUGAUACCUGAAAUACUAGGGUAAAACUUGAGGAGAUAGUGUACAGAAAUCAUAGAAAGAUUCACGUGAACAUGUACAGAAGAGUCAUACGUAGACAUGCAGAACUUUCCUUUUCCUUUUGUGUGCAGAAGUAGCUUGGCAGAGUGAACAAGAUCAAAACUUACUCGGAGAAGAGUGGAAGGAGGAACUGAUCAUGACCCCGGAGAGAAGCAAGAGAGCUGAAUCUACAUAUAUAAGUGUGCCACCCAUAUCCCCGAUUUAUAGUCUGUGUGACUGGUUGCUGAAAAGAACACGUACGUCAAUGGGAUAUCAAAGGAACACAUUUGCCGCAGUGAUUGGCAAAGUGUUGGAAGGAGGAUCAGACGAGAAACGAGGACCAAAGAAGCUGGGGAAGGUGGAGCGGGAUGGAUAGAGCUCGAGUGAUUAGGUCCGUGUGAAUGAAGAUAAAUCUACAUAUAACAAUCAAAAUCAUAAAACGAAUGAACAGUUCGUCUAACACUCUCCUUCACAAG
rnacentral:lncRNA from 1 species